rnacentral:rRNA from 1 species
UACAGAGACUGCAAGCGUUAUUCGGAUUUACUGGGCGUAAAGGGCUCGUAGGCGGCCAACUAAGUCAGACGUGAAAUCCCUCGGCUUAACCGGGGAACUGCGUCUGAUACUGGAUGGCUCGAGUUUGGGAGAGGGAUGCGGAAUUCCAGGUGUAGCGGUGAAAUGCGUAGAUAUCUGGAGGAACACCGGUGGCGAAGGCGGCAUCCUGGACCAACACUGACGCUGAGGAGCGGAAGCCAGGGGAGCAAACGGG